UUAAUUGAAGCCAAAUUUGAGGCAUUUCAUUGUUAAUGAAAUAAAUGAAUAAAUUUUUUCCAAUUAAA
rnacentral:tRNA from 1 species